ACUCCUAAUUUUUUCCUCAUUUAAAUUCCUUAUAUCUUUGUUUAAAUAAUGUUUAAAAGAUCUGUCCAACUCCAUAAAAUAAGUUUUAAAGUACCUGUUUUUGUAGUGUUAUAGGAUAUCAGCUUGUUCAGACUAUUUAAGUUCUGUUUCAAGAAUCUGGGAGCAUUUAUGUAGGGUGCAUAAGUAUUU
rnacentral:miRNA from 1 species